AUGGUGGUGGAGCCGGUAUCCACUCAGUCAAGUAGGCCUACUCCGCAACCCACAGCAACGCAGUCUUCUAUGGACCAGUUUAUGCCAAAGUCUAUGUCUGUAGCAAAACAAGGCCAAAUUGAUAUCGCAUUGGCUAAAAUGAUUGCCACCGAUUUCCAGCCAUUUUCGAUCUUGGAGGACAGAGGUUUUAGAAACUAUAGCAAUAGUCUAAAUCCAAUGAACUCGAUUCCAAGCAGGAAAACCCUUUCAAAAUCACUUAUUCCACAACUGUACGAGAGCACACAGGCUUCAGUGCGGGAAAGAGUCCAAAAAGCUACUGCUGUUUGCCUUACCACUGACUGCUGGACAUCAAGGGUAACCACUUCUUACAUGUCGGUUACAUGUCACUUCAUUGAAGAUUUUUCGAUGUCUAGCUGUCUUCUGGACUGCUUUGAGUUCAGCGACAGACACACCUCAGAGAACUUGGCAGAGGAACUGUUGAGAGUGGCCAGAGAAUGGCAAGUAGAUGGAAAAGUGUUCUGUUGUGUUGGCGACAAUGCAGCUAACAUAACCAAAGCCAUGAAGAUUUUAAAAUGGACUCAUCAUCCAAAAAAAGAUGCAGGUAUAAGGGCUGGAUUACUUGACAGAGAGAACUUGUUGCGAAGGGGAGUGCCUCGUGAUGCAUCAGAGAGAGUGUAUUUUGUUACAAAAUACAGCACUGAAGCAGCGAACAUUAAAAGAAUCAUUAAAAAUAAUUGGGGAAUCAUCCAAAGUGAUACGCUACUACGCCAAGUCUUUCCUGAGCCACCAGUCAUAAGCUUUAAGAGAUGUCCUACCCUAAAGGACAAAUUAGUCCACAGUUAUCUUCCGGGUGACUCUCCAAAAACUUGGCUUGGCCACAAACCCAAGGGCUCUUUUAAAUGUAACCAGUGCAACCAUUGCAGAAAUAUUGCACAGAAAAAGUAUUUUGUUGAUACAGCUUCCAAAAUGGAGUAUUACAUCAAGCAUUUCAUUAACUGCAAAACCACUCAUGUCAUCUAUAGAUUGGAAUGUCCACAGUGCAAGGUGUUCUACAUUGGACGGAUAAAGAGACGCCUUCAAGAUCGCCUAGCGGAACACAAGUACGCCAUAUGGGUAGGCAAUGAAGACUACCCGAUGGCAAGGCACUACAAGUCCUUACACCAUGGCAACCCUGCCUCCCUACAAGCUAUGGGUAUUGAUCAUAUCCCGGCCUCUAUUAGAAAAGGGGACCGUCUUAAACAGUUAAACCAAAGGGAAAGUUUUUGGAUUUACAAACUACAGGCCACUAAAUACCCGGGUUUAAAUGAAGAUAUGGAUUUCUCACCCUUCUUGUAG
rnacentral:lncRNA from 8 species